GUGCCAUCUACUUCUACAGGUGUAUAUUCAAAGCUAUCUAUUUCUACAGGUAUAUAUUCUGUCCUAUCUAUUUCUACAGGUAUAUAUUCUGUGCUAUCUAUUUCAACAGGUAUAUAUUCUGUGCUAUAUAUUUCUACAGGUAUUUAUUCGGUGCUAUCUAUUUCUACAGGUAUAUAUUCGGUGCUAUCUAUUUCUACAGGUAUAUAUUCUGUGCUAUCUAUUUCUACAGGUAUAUAUUCUGUCCUAUAUAUUUCUACAGGUAUGUAUU
ensembl:lncRNA